CACUAAUAAGGAUCAGCAGGAUUGUCAGAACUCAGCAGGAUCGAAUUCAUCCAACAGAUCUCAGCAGAAUCAUCUCUCUCAGAAUGAGGAAAAUCCACACAAUCUAUCAAACCAGAACCAGAAUGCAAUAGAAAUGAAUGAACUGACACCUCUGAGAGAGACGGAAGAACAGGAGACUGAGAGAAACGGAG